UCCUAUAGAAUGUCUAGCACAUGGGAGUC
rnacentral:piRNA from 1 species